CCCUUAGAUGUUCUGGGCCGCACGCGCGCUACACUGAUGCAUUCAACGAGUCUAAAACCUGGUCUGAUAGGGCUGGGUAAUCUUUUGAAUGUGCAUCGUGAUUGGGAUAGAUGAUUGCAAUUCUUCAUCUUCAACGAGGAAUGCCUAGUAAACGCAAGUCAUCAGCUUGCAUUGAUUACGUCCCUGCCCUUUGUACACACCGCCCGUCGCUCCUACCGAUUGAAUGUUCCGAUGAAUACCAUGGACUGAGAGUAUGAAUGAGUUCGCCUAUUUCUGCUUCUCGGGAAGUGGAGUAAAUCUUAACAUUUAGAGGAAGGAGAAGUCGUAACA
rnacentral:rRNA from 1 species